GGGGAUGAGAAUCAAAAAUGAUGGAGUAUAUCACAGACUUCUUUGUAUAUUAUGGUAAGAAUUAUGGUCGAAGUUGGCAGUUCAAGAUGAGAAUGUUCGAUAGACAAUGAAAUACAGAGAGAAAUAGAGAGGAACAAAUCAAGCAGGCAGACAUAGUGAAUAAGUAAAGCAGGUCGAGAUAAGGAGAUAUUGCUUGAAGAUGGUAUCAAGAAAUCUGGCAUUGCAUUGUGGUCCCUAGAAAACGAAGUUACAUGCUUGGAUGGCGCAUACAUUAAUGUCCCAACUGCCACCCGUCUAACCCAUCCGUGGGCACAAACUCUCAACACCAACUCCAGCCUCCUGUUCACGGGCUGGCAGACAGCACAGCUUGUAAGCUCAGUGCGAACACGCCCCGCCAUUGUUGGGGUCAGCAGCUCUGAACUCGCGCCAUUGUGAGCGGUGCGCCGCUGCACUGCGCAUGACAGGCGACUGCGCACACGCAUAAUGCGGAUUACGGCGGGAACCACCACGUGCGUUUUUCCCGCAAAAAUCAGCUGCAUCGUGGGUGGUGGUGCCACUGAAAGGGGUGCAGUGCACGCCAGGUCUGCCUGACACGCUGGCGGGUGAUAGUGAGUUUAUAUAAAGUCUCUACCCAUCCGGAGUUGGGGCGAUCGGGGUGCAAGACACCAUGCUGUGCAGGCUACUGUCACACCGCAGGAACAAGAUUACCAACAGCUGGAUCUUGUUUCAUCCUCGCCAGACUGCGGCUGGGAGAGCUUCUCGGUGACAGCUUCCAAAGCGCGACAACACAAGUUUAAAAUAUAUAAAGGUAUCUCCUGACACCAGCGAUGAAUAUGUCAUUGACAGAGGCUGUGCGCUGUACCCUCCUUCGGAAAUCCUGGCAAAGCAAACAAGU